UACGGGGGGGGCAAGCGUUGUUCGGAAUUACUGGGCGUAAAGGGCGCGUAGGCGGUGCUGUAAGUCAGGCGUGAAAUCCCCGGGCUCAACCUGGGAAUUGCGUUUGAUACUGCGGCGCUGGAAUGCGGGAGAGGAUGGCGGAAUUCCCAGUGUAGAGGUGAAAUUCGUAGAUAUUGGGAAGAACACCGGUGGCGAAGGCGGCCAUCUGGCCCGUAAUUGACGCUGAGGCGCGAAAGCGUGGGGAGCAAACAGG
rnacentral:rRNA from 1 species